AGGCCGAGAAGGCAAUCAGGGCAUGUGGAGCAAGCAGCGGCAGCCUGGCCUGGCGAGGACGACCUGUGGGCCUCUGGGGGCCUGCCCACCAGGGUCCCCGCUCCGGACCGCGAACUCGAGGAGGUGCUGGACCAGAACCGACUGCCUAACGAGCUGCUCCAGGAGGUGCUGAGCUACCUGCCCCCAAGCACGCUGCUCGGGCAAUCCCGCCAGGUGUGCCGGCGCUGGGUGGUGGACGGCUGGGACCUGUGGCGGAGCAUCCUGCCCUGGAAACACCCGGACCUGUGGCCCGUCAUCCGCACCUGCCUGCCCCCUGCUGACGACCCCGGACCCUGCAUCCUGGGCCGCUUCUGCGAGCGCAGACCCAUAGGACGCAACCUCCUCCGGGACUCUCAGAGCUCUCGUGGCCUAGGUGGUUCUAAGGAAGAAGCAAUAAACAUGUAUAUCAGCUAAUUGUCCAAAUUGUAGAUGUCAACAAGACUAUCCUGGAUCAGUUCUCUAAGAGUAGCUUUCACAUCGGGCGGUGCAGAAGGAGAGAGCCCUUGAAGGUCAACCAUGUGUUCUCCAGCCUUGAGAAGGGUGUUCGCUUUGUGUCUGUGGAACAGUGGAUCUUAGUCAUGGAUCUCAACAAUGAGCCAAGUGGAGUCGAACUUACCAACGCCAGUUUGCUCAACUCCAGUUUGAUUGUGCAGGUCGCCUAUCCUAGUCAAGAGCUAUCCUUGGAGAACAACCACCCCACGGAUGUCAGGAACUUUGCGUGCGGGCACACCGUUUCUCUAAUUAAGGACUUGUAGUUCCUGGCCAUCCUGGGAUCUCUUGGGUCCAGUUGAGGGUCCUACUAGAAGAAAAUUCCUGCUACUUCUAUAAGGCAGGCCCUGUUCUUCUGAUUGGAAACCCAUGGGUGAGCACAGGGAAAGGCUGGGUCAUGAAAGGGCUCCUCACCAGGGGCCCUCUGGUUCAGCCCCCCUGCCCUCUGCCCUGGUCUCCUCCCAGGCCUGCUGUAGAGGCUCACUGGUCCCGUGCAGGAAGCCCCCUCCUCAUGUCUGAACUGGAAGCUCAUUCCUAUGACCAAGAAAAUUCCAGCCCCCGUAGGGGAUGAAUUUCAUUUUGUGAGGUUUUAAGACCAGGACCAAGACUCACAGCUGAGAGUGAACCAACUCAAAAAAUGUUUGGAGACAGAGGGUUCUGCCCACCCUGUGAACAAUGAUGUGGUCCCCUGAGCCCAACCCUAUCCUGGAUCGUGUGGUGUAUAAAAUAGUUACAUUUUGAAAUUCUUUUAAAU
ensembl:lncRNA